rnacentral:rRNA from 1 species
GACGAACGCUGGCGGCGUGCUUAACACAUGCAAGUCGAGCGGUAAGGCCCUUUCGGGGGUACACGAGCGGCGAACGGGUGAGUAACACGUGGGUGACCUGCCCUCAGCUCUGGGAUAAGCCUGGGAAACUGGGUCUAAUACUGGAUAUGACUCCACGGUGCAUGUCGGUGGGGUGGAAAGCCUUGUGCGGCUGAGGAGUGGGCCCGCGGCCUAUCAGCUUGUUGGGUGGGGUGANGGCCUACCAAGGCGACGACGGGUAGCCGGCCUGAGAGGGCGACCGGCCACACUGGGACUGAGACACGGCCCAGACUCCUACGGGAGGCAGCAGUGGGGAAUCUUGCGCAAUGGGCGAAAGCCUGACGCAGCGACGCCGCGUGAGGGAU